GAUGAACGCUGGCGGCGUGCCUAAUACAUGCAAGUCGAGCGAACAGACGAGGAGCUUGCUCCUCUGACGUUAGCGGCGGAAGGGUGAGUAAAACGUGGAUAACCUACCUAUAAGACUGGGAUAAAUUCGGGAAACCGGAGCUAAAACCGGAUAAUAUAUUGAACCGCAUGGUUCAAUAGUGAAAGACGGUUUUGCUGUCACUUAUAGAUGGAUCCGCGCCGCAUUAGCUAGUUGGUAAGGUAACGGCUUACCAAGGCAACGAUGCGUAGCCGACCUGAGAGGGUGAUCGGCCACACUGGAACUGAGACACGGUCCAGACUCCUACGGGAGGCAGCAGUAGGGAAUCUUCCGCAAUGGGCGAAAGCCUGACGGAGCAACGCCGCGUGAGUGAUGAAGGUCUUCGGAUCGUAAAACUCUGUUAUUAGGGAAGAACAAAUGUGUAAGUAACUAUGCACGUCUUGACGGUACCUAAUCAGAAAGCCACGGCUAACUACGUG
rnacentral:rRNA from 1 species